UUUUAGUGGAAUUUAGCUGGAUGGGGUCACCUGCCAAAUGCUCUAAAUCUGAGGCUUAUUGUUAAGAGUCAGAUUAGAAAGUGUGGGGAAAGCAUUAAUGAUAUAUUGGCACCAAACUGAGCCUUUAAAAUUGAAAGAGAUUGAAAAAGGAAUCCUUUCUCAUUAUGUGAUUUAAUGUCAUUUAAUACUCAUGUACUACCUAAAAUCAUACUACCAUGGUACAGGUUCCCACCCUUUGGGAAAUACUGGAUUAAGGCAUUGUUGAAAUGCACACAUUAUUCCAGUCUUAGACCUGGCACUGUGUGACCUUGAGAAAGUCCCUGCUCCUCUCUAGACAUUUUGUUGAGUGACAAGCAGAUCAGAUGAUUGACAUAUAAGAAUACAUGGUUCACAGAUAUCUUUGUAUGCUAGGUUCAGGGAAUACAGAAGUGAACAAGAGGCAUAUAUCCCUGCUAUCAUGUAGUUUACAUUCUUGUGGGGAAAAGAGACAAACAGCAAGUAAACCAGUAAACAGGUAAAAUAAAUUCAGAUAAUGAUAAACACUGUAAAGGAAUUAAAGCGUGGUAAUGAGAGUGAAGGAAAGAGUGGUCUCAGAAGCCCUCCCUAAGGAAGCAGCACUUAAAUACUGAAAACUUCAGUAACCUCAAGCAGCAAUGCCUAAUAGAAAUAAACUGUAGACCACGUAUGUGAAUUUAAAUUUCCUAGUAGCUACACUGAAAAAAAGGAAAAAGAAGCACGUGUCAUUAAGUUUAACAUUUUAUUUAACCCAGUGUAUCCAAAAUAUUAUCACUUUAAUAUGUGACCAAUAUAAAAAGUUAGAUAUUUUACAUUAUUUUUCUAUGUGUGCUAAGUCUGAAACCCGGUGGUGUAUCUUUACGCUUACAGUACAUCUCAAUUCCGAUGGUAACUUUUAAUAAAGUCAGCUGUAGUCCUAACAAGAACAAUUUUUUAAAGAAAAAAAUUUUACGCUGCUUCUAUUUUUAAAUGUAAAUUAAUAUUAAAAUUAAAUAAAAUUUGAAACUUCUGUUCUUCAGUUGCACUAGAUACAUUUCAAGUACCUGUACUGAAGGGCACAACAAAGAAUGGUUUCAGGAAAGUGGGUAGCCAGUUCAAAAGCCCUGCAGCAGGAACUCUGCGCUUGAGAGCAAGGAAGGAAGGCGAAUGGAACAGUGUGGUAAAACAGCUCGGAGAGGUGGGUGGGGCCACACCAGAGGGCCUCGAGGGCCUAAGUGACAUUUAUGGUUUAUUCUAAGUUCAAAGAAAACCUACUGAGGGCUUUAAGCCAGAGUGGAUACCAUCACAGGUCUUCGGAGAGGUCCGUUUGGUGCAAUGGAGGAUGGACUGUAAGUGGGCCAGAGCAGCAGACUAAGGAUAGUGGCCUGGCUCAGGGUAGCAAGGUGGUGAAGUGAGUGGAUCCGGAUUUAAUGGGAAGGCAGAACGGACAGAGAUUGGGGAUACACUGGAAGGAGGAACACCCAGAACUGAGUGGGACCCCCAGGGAGAAAAGUGGGCCAGGCGCAGCCAGAAAAAGGCUUCGAUGAAGAAUGUUGCUCGGCCUCGGCGGCCCCGGCCUCCUCCAUCCGCCCCCUGCGUGGCCACUCGUGACAGCUGCAAGCCGCCGGCGCCCGCCUGCUGCGACCCGUGCGCCUCCUGCCAGUGCCGC